GUCCGCGACGGACAUUACGCCACUUUCUUGCCUCAAGCGGACUCACUCGAAUGUAGUUGGCGUUAAUGUAGUCUGAACCGGGAACAUCUGGAUCUACAUCUCGAAUUACAACUCGUGUCGUGUCAACUGGAAGGAACAAAAGAAGCCGGUGAGGCAGGAAACAGCAGCAUGCUCUGCGACUCACAGGGGAGGAUAUUCUUGUAUCUGUUUUUACUCUUGUUUUCUGCUUUCAUGCCCUCCUUCCGGGGAUACAGCAGUUUGCACUCUUGUUGUUGAAGUACCUGCGGGGAUCAGAGUAAGAGAGAUUGUCUUUUUUUCCGUCUGAUGACGUGGUAUGUACAGGAUUAAAUGUGACUAUGUGUCAUAUCGACAAAAUAUGUCACCUGUGCCACACACAUACAGUAAACAAGAUGAAAAUGCAAAGUCCACCCUUGCUUCAAAACUGAUCCCCCCCCAAAAUUGAGCACGGAAUGCCUUGCUUCCAUUUUGAUGGAAAGCGGAAUUUUCUGCAAUUCCGGUGAUCAAAGCAACAUUUCUGAAUGAUUGUGUCAUUUUCCCCCAUUGUGUUACAUGAAACCGGUCCGCCAUGCAAAAGUGUCCUAAUAGGAUAAAGAAUGAAGACUCAGGGGGGAAUUACAGUCCUUAUACUUGUAUUACUAUAAUGUAUUCGUGUAACUUUCUGCGCAGUGGCCGGAAGACAUUACAUGGUGCGCCUGUCUUUCUAACUUCAGUUCAAAUUUCUAGAAUGGUUAAAUUAACGGCUACCUUUAUUAUGGCUGUGAGGAAAAUUAAUUAAUUUCCUUAAUUUUCUUUCCUCACUAUUAUGUGUCCUUCUAUUUUGAUUCCAUUCUGCCACUGUAAGGACAAUUAAUUCAUUUCCUUAAUUUUGAUUCCAUUCUGCCCCUGGGAUUUGAUAUUUGGUAAUAGUGCACAUUCAUUAGCAAAAUUAAAAACCCCAUCCAAAAUCAAGGAGGGGUAUUAUAUAUGGGAAAUUGAAAGAUUUGUGAGUCGUUAUACAUUUGCAGGUACUCGUGGUUGCAAAAAAGUUGCAAUGUCAUUCCAAUAGGAUGCAUCAUGUAGAAUGUUCCAAAUCGACAAGUAUGUUCAGCAAAGCGUUCUGGAACAACACCUCUUACAAAUUGAAGAUCGAGCUGUGGACAGCUGAUAUUGUUAGCAAGCUAAGAAAACGCUUUGCAAAAAAAAAUAUGUCUGAAUGUGGUAAAAGAAAAUCCCAAUAUAUGGGGACAAUACUUUGAUUUUUGAGAAUGGAUUCCAGCAAAUCUGGGGUUUGUGUGAGUGAAUCUUGAGAAGUGACGUUAUUUCCUUCGACUAAGUAUGACUCAUGUAAUUAGACGCUCAUCUGAAGUCAGAUCUAAUAAAACUGAACAAAGUACUGAGAUGAUGAAAAAGUUCCAAGUCAAGCUGUUGUAGCUUUAAAGUGUACAAACUUGAUUCCUAGAGUCCGCAGAGAGAUUCGCAGAGUUAUUAUAAAAUGUUCAUCAGCUCGACUUCUAAGCCAACAUACCUCAAACUCCUCCCAAAAUCCUUGUUUGGGUUUCUCUGAAUUGUCUGCUACCUUGUUGAGCUCUCGUACUCGAUUCUCAAUGCUGGCUGCGUUUAUCCUCGUGGCAUUAAAGGGCUGUUAGGACAAAGAGAUGUACAGAUAUUAAACCAGAAAAACAAGUUGUGGUAUAGCCCGCAUCUUGUCAGCUGAGAUGCCCCGUAGCCCAAAACAUGUUCAGCAGUAGAAAAUGGAGGAAUAAAAGCUUAUCUAUUUGCUGUUUUA